rnacentral:rRNA from 2 species
UGACCUCGGAUCAGGUAGGACUACCCGCUGAACUUAAGCAUAUCAAUAAGCGGAGGAAAAGAAACCAACAGGGAUUGCCCCAGUAACGGCGAGUGAAGCGGCAACAGCUCAGAUUUGGAAUCUGGCCCCCAGGGCCCGAGUUGUAAUCUGGAGAGGAUGCUUCUGGCGCGGCGCCUUCCGAGUUCCCUGGAACGGGACGCCGGAGAGGGUGAGAGCCCCGUACGGUCGGACGCCUAGCCUUUGUGAAGCUCCUUCGACGAGUCGAGUAGUUUGGGAAUGCUGCUCAAAAUGGGAGGUAAAUUUCUUCUAAAGCUAAAUAUUGGCCAGAGACCGAUAGCGCACAAGUAGAGUGAUCGAAAGAUGAAAAGCACUUUGAAAAGAGGGUUAAAAAGUACGUGAAAUUGUUGAAAGGGAAGCGCCCGUGGCCAGACUUGUGCCCCGUGGACCACCCAGCGCCCUCAGCGCUGGUGCACUCCGCGGGGCGCAGGCCAGCAUCGGUUUUUCCAGGGGGACAAAGGCGGCGGGAACGUGGCUCCCUCGGGAGUGU